UGAACGCUGGCGGCGUGCCUACUACAUGCAAGUCGCGCGACCAGACGAGGAGCUUGCUCCUUUGACGUUAGCGGCGGACGGGUGAGUAACACGUGGAUAACCUACCUAUAAGACUGGGAUAACUUCGGGAAACCGGAGCUAAUACCGGAUAACAUGUUGAACCGCAUGGUUCAACAGUGAAAGACGGUCUUGCUGUCACUUAUAGAUGGAUCCGCGCCGCAUUAGCUAGUUGGUAAGGUAACGGCUUACCAAGGCAACGAUGCGUAGCCGACCUGAGAGGGUGAUCGGCCACACUGGAACUGAGACACGGUCCAGACUCCUACGGGAGGCAGCAGUAGGGAAUCUUCCGCAAUGGGCGAAAGCCUGACGGAGCAACGCCGCGUGAGUGAAGAAGGUCUUCGGAUCGUAAAACUCUGUUAUUAGGGAAGAACAAAUGUGUAAGUAACUAUGCACGUCUUGACGGUACCUAAUCAGAAAGCCACGGCUAACUACGUG
rnacentral:rRNA from 1 species